rnacentral:rRNA from 1 species
GACGUAGGGGGCAAGCGUUAUUCGGAAUUAUUGGGCGUAAAGCGCUCGUAGGCGGGACUGGAAGUCCGUGUUGAAAGACCUCGGCUCAACUGAGGGACCGGCUCGGAUACUCUAGUUCUUGAGGCAAUCAGAGGGUGAUGGAAUUCCCGGUGUAGCGGUGAAAUGCGCAGAUAUCAGGAGGAACACCGGUGGCGAAGGCGGGUCUCUGGGCCGAUACUGACGCUGAGGAGCGAAAGCGUGGGGAGCGAACAGG